GUAUACCUUUAUGAAAAUACAAAUGAUAUGGCCAUCUCCUCUUAACCCCUCGCUUGUUCUUUUACGUAGUGUUUACAGGUCAGUGACUCUCAAGAACUGUGCUGAACACGAGAUCCCGGGAGACAAGGCUCACCCAGCCGUCGCCUCUGCCGUUCAUGGGGAGAUUAGAGAAACAAGCCUGGAAGUGAGACAUUAAAAACCUCAUACUUGUGUCCCCCACGGGAGAGGUUCAGAAAUUGCAAGCAGUGCUCAGAGCCACAUCAUCCACCAUAGCUAAAGAAAGACGUGUCCUGGACAAAGGGCUGGGGACAGAGCCGGGCCGGCCACGGGUGUUCACUGGGCAAUAAGCAGCCAUCACAUGACACCGAAAAGCAGGAUUUAGGGACAUUUGUCUGGCAGUCGUUAGCUCCUGGUUCUCCUCUUGCAGAAGGCAAAUAUCAGAAAGCAACGAGGAAAGAAAAAAAAAAAAAGAGGACAAAAAUUUCCAUUUAUCCAUCUGAAAUUAAUGUCCCAUCAAGAAGGCCUGGUGGCUUCUGCAGACAGCCCAGCUGCCGCUGCUGAGUCCUGUCUGGGUCGCUCGUCACCAUGGCAGGUCCAGUAGAUGGCUGCAGGGGCUGAACGCAGCCGGGUAGCUUCAGGAGCCCUCUCAUCGGUGCCACCCCGUCAGAACACUCCGUGCCGAGGCCGGAGCCCGCCCCCGUGAAUUAUUCAUACCAGCCACCUUACCAGAGGCAUCUAUCCCAGGCUGACGUCUGUCAGCCCGGGAGAAAUCUAAAAUGCAGUGGGAAGGAUCCCUUUCUCUGUCUUGAAGCUGGGACACCUCUUGGGCCUUCAGACAUCUCUGACCUUUGCACUCUAGGACUUGAACCAUGACCUCUGGAUUCUUGGGCCUUCAGCCUCAGUUUACACCAUCAGCUUGCCUGGUUCUAAGGCCUCUGGCAUCCAGGAUCUGCAGCCUACAGGCAGCCUGUGGGCUUCUCUGCCUCCACGGCUGCAUAAUGAGCACAUAUCGACAUACAUCUUCCAUCAGCCUGUGCCUCAGGAGAACCCUGACUCAGGCACCUGUCAUUGGAGUGGGGAUUGCAGGUCCUGUGGGUACAAGUGGGGCAGGAGGGGAGGCAUUGGGGAACUGCUGUAUGUUGUGAUACUUGGCCAAGCACGGUCGACGUAGCUACUCAUACAAGCCAGACUGGUGUUACAGUUUGAAUGACAGUGUCCCUGCAAAAAUCUAUGUGCAAAUCCAAUCAUCAAUGUGAUAACGUUAAGAAGUGGGCCUCUCAGAGGUGAGUAAGGACUGGGGAUGCAGUUUGGUGGCAGAGCAUUUGCCCAGCAUGUGUGAGGUCCUGGAUUCCAUCCCAACACGGGAAAAAAAAAUGGGGAUGAGGUCAAGAGAGCCUCGUGAGCAGGGUCAGCCUCUGAUGUCGUGGUCUGUUCUGUGGAUUUCUUCCAUGGAUCCUGGCUCAUCACUCCCUGCCCAUGGCAGGUCAUGGAAGCUGUAGUGGAAACAGCUUCGCCUUUUGUUGUCCAUAAGAACAUUUCCAGACUAACCUCAUCUGCCAGUUAGCUCACAAUAUUCUUCUCAUUGCCCAGUGCCCAGGAGGGAAGGAUGCUGAAGCCCUCCCCCAUUGAUUGGCACUAGAUGUCCCAUAAAGACUCCAUGAACCCCAAGGACAGCCUCGGGAGCUUCAGGAGAGCUGAACACAGGAGGUUCUGAUCUGCACCCCCAUGCCUUGCCCUAGGCCUCUCUAUCCUUUGUAAUGUGCUUUGAAAUCAAUGGGUAAAAAGAAGUGUUUCCUGAGUUCUGUGAGCCACUCCAGCAAAUUGAGGGACCUGAGGAGGAGAUGUUGGCACUCUCCAUUUAGAGCCAGUGGGUUAGAAGCACAACCUGGGACUUGUGACCUGCUUCUGCAGGCGGGCAGUCUUGGGGCCUGAGCCUUCCACCUGUGGGCUCUGACGCUGGCUGUUCCAUGCAGAUGGUGUCAGGACCGGCUUAGAUCAGGACAGCAGGUGUCUGCUGCUGCAGGGUCACAGAGCUCUUCUGCGUUGACUGCAGCAUGGAAACAGCGGGCAGAGUUUGGUUUUCCUAACACGUGGGUCCUUACAAAAGGGCUGGAGAGAGGAUGUUCUGUUCCUCUCCCACACAAGGACCCCCUCUACAACAAGCUGCCAUCUUGGAAGUGACACCAGGCUCUCACCAGACACCCAACUUGCUGUACCUUGAUCUUGGGACUGGGUAUCCCAAUCUCAGAACUCUAAGAAAUGGGUUUCUGUUCUUUAUAAGCUACCCAGUCUCAGGUAUUUUGUUAUAGCAGCAUAAAUGAACUAAGACAACACCUUGUCACAUACAACUUGUACCUGAGUUCUCAGCCUUGACACUACUAAUAUUUUGAGCAAAUCAUUCUUAUUCUUUUUAAAAUAUCUUUAUUUAUUCAGUUUUAUGUGGUGCUGAGGAUUGAACCCAAUGCCUCACUCGUGCCAGGCAAGCUCUCUACCACUGAGCUAUAACCCUAGCCCUCUUUUUUUUUUCUUACAUUUUAGCAUGUUUUAAAAUCGUGGUUAAACAUGUAUAACACAAAAUUUACCAUCUUGGGGCUGGGGUGGUGGCUCAGCA